UACGGGGGGGGCAAGCGUUGUUCGGAAUUACUGGGCGUAAAGGGUGCGUAGGCGGUUCGCUAAGUUGGAUGUGAAAACUCUGGGCUUAACCCAGAGCCUGCAUCCAAUACUGACGAGCUAGAGUUCUGGAGGGGGUAGCGGAAUUCCUGGUGUAGCGGUGAAAUGCGUAGAUAUCAGGAGGAACACCAGUGGCGAAGGCGACUCGCUGGACAGGUAUUGACGCUGAGGUGCGAAAGCGUGGGGAGCAAACAGG
rnacentral:rRNA from 1 species